rnacentral:lncRNA from 1 species
CGACGACUAUCAACGAAAUAUCGAUUUGGCUCACUGUUGCCGAAGGAGUGUUGGCCCGACUCUUCUUCGAAGCUUGGGAAGGGCCUGCACUUGCAGUAGGCCUCUUCCUGGCGGCAUAUUGUCAGAUUUCAUUUGCUGAAGGUCGAGCUACACACCGCAUAGAUGCAAAUAAAAGAUAAAAUGACUUAGUUACAAAUUCUAAGCCAAAAAAAAAGAGAUGAAAAUAAAAGAUCAACCAUGUUAUACCUACGGC